AGGUCUUGCCUGCCCAGUGACAAAGGUUCAACGGCCGCGGUAUUUUGACCGUGCUAAGGUAGCGCAAUCACUUGUCUUUUAAAUGAAGACCCGUAUGAAUGGCGAAACGAGGGCUUAACUGUCUCCUCCAUCCAGUCAAUGAAAUUGAUCUUCCCGUGCAGAAGCGGGAAUACCACCAUAAGACGAGAAGACCCUAUGGAGCUUUAGACAACAGCACAGCCCGUCCCUAAACCUGAAAUAAAGUGGCACAAUUAACGGCCCCUGUGUUUAUGUCUUCGGUUGGGGCGACCGCGGGGAAAUACAUAACCCCCAUGUGGAGUAAGAGCACUAUAUCCCACCACUCCUUGCUCUUAAAAACUAGAGGGACACCUCUAAUAAUCAGAACUUCUGACCUUAAAUGAUCCGGGCAACCGAUCAACGAACCAAGUUACCCUAGGGAUAACAGCGCAAUCCUCUUUUAGAGCCCAUAUCGACAAGAGGGUUUACGACCUCGAUGUUGGAUCAGGACAUCCUAAUGGCGCAGCAGCUAUUAA
rnacentral:rRNA from 1 species